AGAGUUUGAUCCUGGCUCAGGACGAACGCUGGCGGCGUGCUUAACACAUGCAAGUCGAACGAGAAUCUACUGAAAGAGUUUUCGGACAAUGGAAGUAGAGGAAAGUGGCGGACGGGUGAGUAACGCGUGAGGAACCUGCCUUGAAGAGGGGGACAACAGUUGGAAACGACUGCUAAUACCGCAUGACGCAUAGAGGUCGCAUGAUCUUUAUGCCAAAGAUUUAUCGCUUCAAGAUGGCCUCGCGUCUGAUUAGCUGGUUGGCGGGGUAACGGCCCACCAAGGCGACGAUCAGUAGCCGGACUGAGAGGUUGAACGGCCACAUUGGGACUGAGAUACGGCCCAGACUCCUACGGGAGGCAGCAGUGGGGAAUAUUGGGCAAUGGGCGCAAGCCUGACCCAGCAACGCCGCGUGAAGGAAGAAGGCUUUCGGGUUGUAAACUUCUUUUAAGAGGGAAGAGCAGAAGACGGUACCUCUAGAAUAAGCCACGGCUAACUACGUGCCAGCAGCCGCGGUAAUACGUAGGUGGCAAGCGUUGUCCGGAUUUACUGGGUGUAAAGGGCGUGCAGCCGGGUCUGCAAGUCAGAUGUGAAAUCCAUGGGCUCAACCCAUGAACUGCAUUUGAAACUGUAGAUCUUGAGUGUCGGAGGGGCAAUCGGAAUUCCUAGUGUAGCGGUGAAAUGCGUAGAUAUUAGGAGGAACACCAGUGGCGAAGGCGGAUUGCUGGACGAUAACUGACGGUGAGGCGCGAAAGUGUGGGGAGCAAACAGGAUUAGAUACCCUGGUAGUCCACACUGUAAACGAUGAAUACUAGGUGUGCGGGGACUGACCCCCUGCGUGCCGCAGUAAACACAAUAAGUAUUCCACCUGGGGAGUACGAUCGCAAGGUUGAAACUCAAAGGAAUUGACGGGGGCCCGCACAAGCGGUGGAUUAUGUGGUUUAAUUCGAAGCAACGCGAAGAACCUUACCAGGGUUUGACAUCCUGCUAACGAAGUAGAGAUACAUUAGGUGCCCUUCGGGGAAAGCAGAGACAGGUGGUGCAUGGUUGUCGUCAGCUCGUGUCGUGAGAUGUUGGGUUAAGUCCCGCAACGAGCGCAACCCUUAUCUUUAGUAGCCAGCAGUAAGAUGGGCACUCUAGAGAGACUGCCGGGGAUAACCCGGAGGAAGGUGGGGAUGACGUCAAAUCAUCAUGCCCCUUAUGACCAGGGCUACACACGUGCUACAAUGGCGUAAACAAAGAGAAGCGAAGUCGUGAGGCAGAGCGAAUCUCAAAAAUAACGUCUCAGUUCGGAUUGUAGUCUGCAACUCGACUACAUGAAGCUGGAAUCGCUAGUAAUCGCAGAUCAGAAUGCUGCGGUGAAUACGUUCCCGGGUCUUGUACACACCGCCCGUCACACCAUGGGAGUCGGAAAUGCCCGAAGUCGGUGACCUAACCGCAAGGAAGGAGCCGCCGAAGGCAGGUCUGAUAACUGGGGUGAAGUCGUAACAAGGUAGCCGUAUCGGAAGGUGCGGCUG
rnacentral:rRNA from 1 species